AAAUCAUUUGGGAGCAAUUUCAAAGUAAUCCCUUGUAAUGCUCCCAUCCUUCAUAAAGUGAUUUACCCGGUUGUUGCUUAAAGUUAGCUAUUGCCUUCUUAAGUUU